rnacentral:misc_RNA from 1 species
GUACACACUUCCUCCCUCCUUUUGUGACACGCUCUCACAGCCAAAGAACCCCAUCUCACAAACUUGACGCCAAAUAUGUCGACGGCAAGAUUCCAACCGACUACGACUUUAGCUGCUGCAUCGGCGGGCUUUGCCUCAGUUAAGCACCACCUUGGUUUCACUCUUCGUCUUCCUUGCAACAACUACGUUUUUAGAAGCCACUCAAUCAGAAGAAGAAACCUGUCUGUUUUUGCAAUGUCUGCUGUAUCCGACCCUCUCGAAGUCUGUGUCAAAGCCUCCAUUACUGUCCCCAAUAAGCUUGGCGACUGCCCUUUUUGCCAAAGAGUAUUGUUGACUAUGGAGGAAAAGCAUCUCCCUUAUGAUAUGAAGUUGGUAGAUUUGGCUAACAAGCCAGAAUGGUUCUUGAAAUUAAGCCCAGAAGGUAAAGUUCCUGUGGUAAAGCUUGAGGAUAAGUGGGUUCCAGACUCAGAUGUUAUUACACAAUCACUAGAAGAAAAGUUUCCUGAUCCACAGUUGGGAACCCCACCUGAGAAGGCUUCAGUUGGCUCAAAGAUCUUCUCCACAUUUAUUGGUUUUCUUAAAAGCAAAGAUGCAAGUGAUGGGACAGAACAGGCAUUACUCAAUGAGCUAAGUGCACUGAAUGACUAUAUCAAAGAAAAUGGCCCUUUUAUCAAUGGAGAAAAGGUUUCUGCAGCCGAUUUGUCACUGGGACCAAAGUUGUACCAUCUAGAGAUUGCAUUGGGGCAUUAUAAGAAGUGGUCGGUUCCAGAGUCACUUCCCUAUGUCAAAUCUUACAUGAAGGCAAUUUUCUCGUUGGAUUCAUUUGUUAAAACACGGGCUCUCCCAGAGGAUGUUAUUGCUGGUUGGCGUCCAAAAGUCAUGGGUUAAAGUUUCUAUCCUGCUGCUUUACUGCGGGAAAUCUACUGGUAGCUACCAAUAUCUGUCUGAUUUAGCUUCUUGCAUGUAUUUAGGCUUAAAACAGACAGAUAUUGGUAGCUACCAGUAGAU